AAAUUAUAAUACGUUAAGUUUGAGGGGGUGAACUACUUUGUUAAGCAUUUGUAACAAAGUAAUGGUAGCUGGCAAACAACCAGUUGGUGGCAGAGUUGUGACCCCAAUCCUCCUUGCUCCCAGAUCAUAGAGGUUCUGUCCAUAGAUUGUUUCUGAUAUUAACAUGUGGAAUUUGUGUAUAAUUGAACAAUUUGCAUAUAAUAUUUCUCAGUUUUUGAUUUAUAAUUACAGCUCGAUCUGAAUUAUUGAUGUUCUCAGUAUCCGGAGUAAAGAUUGUGAUAAUAUCCAGCUUAUUUUUCAGGAUAAGUCUACCGGUACUCAGGUGUAUGUCAUCCUUGUACAUCCUGUAACAAUCCCAAGUUUCUGUAAUUUGAUAAGUGCUUGUUAUGAUUCAUGCGUGGGCUAGCUUGCUCCCAUUUGCCAAAUGAGUGUUGGAACUUAAAAUUUAUUUUCCAGGGCUCUUACUAUCAUACGAAAAUACUACGUGGUAAAUUGACAUUAUAAUAGGUUAGUCCUAAUUGCAUUUUCAUUUGAUAAUGCUCUUGUGCGCAAGGGUUAUGCGUAGUAAUUCUGUGCAGGUUGCGCGGAUUUUGAAUUAGUUUAUGGAAAUAGUUGACGCUCUAAUAAUUAGUACACAGGAGAGGAAGCCGGACCUGAACAAAUGAAGAGUAAGACUGCAUGAGGAUAUCUGAGAAUUCAUCAGGUGAAGCGGCAUGUUUUGCACCUCCUAAAGCUAGUGGUAAAGUGAGAUUCUUGGGGCAAAAUAUAUGUUUAGAAUUGAAGCAAAACUGACGUGAACCAGAGAAUUUUUUCCUCACGUAGGACCUCUGCUUCUUUUCAUAUUGGUUUAUUCCUAUCCAACCACAGAGAGAUAAUCAAAACAAAAUAAAAAGGGACUAGACCAAAACCUUUACAAAGAAAAUGCAAUUUGAGGAACGAUAUCGUAACUUCGAUUCUCUAUACAUAUUAAAGAUGCUCAAAAGAUGUGUUAAAAACUAGAACUAGAAUAAAUUAGACGAGCACGUAAAACAACAGGAAAUAUAUCCAACAUCAGUAAUCUCUUGAUAAACCUUUAUCAAAAUCUUUUUCACAUUUCUUUUCCUCAAUAGCUGUGGUAUCCCCAAAUGUAUAAAAAAGACGGAUGACACUACUGCAAGCGAGAAAGCAACUUGUUUAGUCUUGCGAUGCACUUAUGCUAGAACAAUAACUCGAGACUAAGACAUCUUACAACUCUCAAUCGAGAGCUAGCUUGCCCAUGUCGUUCCAACAACCGGUGAGGAGCACCUAAGUAUACAAUCGAUCGCGUGCAGUAACUGGGAAUUGUACUACACCUGUGGCCAGCUUCAAUAUCGUAGAGAAACAUUUCUUGAUGUUCGUAGGUCAUCGCUUUCGCCACUAAGUUGAACAGACCACCACCAGCCUACUUGUUCAUUUUAUUUCUCCCAACAACUUGUUUAUUACCUUUCAUUAUGUUUCGAGUAGCUUGCGAUGGCAGCUUCAAUUAUAUUCUUGCAAUUUAGGGUAUAGGGAUUUGCAUUUUAAAGAGAGUUUUAGUGCUUGUCCAUAAAAUACUAUUUUCUUUGAUGGUCGUCCUUCUACCUAUUUUUUCUUUUCUCUAUUCAUCGAAACCAGAAAUUCGCGUAAAAGAAUUCCAAAAAGAUGUAAGAUGUUGCACUUAAAAUAUGAAGUUAUGUCAAUGAAA